rnacentral:rRNA from 1 species
CCUACGGGUGGCAGCAGUCGAGAAUCAUUCACAAUGGGGGAAACCCUGAUGGUGCGACGCCGCGUGGGGGAAUGAAGGUCUUCGGAUUGUAAAUCCCUGUCAUGUGGGAGCAAAUUAAAAAGUUAGUACCACAAGAGGAAGAGACGGCUAACUAUGUGCCAUCAGCCGCGGUAAUACAGAGGUCUCAAGCGUUGUUCGGAAUCACUGGUCGUAAGGCGUGCGUAGGCUGUUUCGUAAGUCGUGUGUGAAAGGCGCGGGCUCAACCCGCGGACGGCACAUGAUACUGCGAGACUAGAGUAAUGGAGGGGGAGCCGGAAUUCUCGGUGUAGCAGUGAAAUGCGUAGAUAUCGAGAGGAACACUCGUGGCGAAGGCGGGUUCCUGGACAUUAACUGACGCUGAGGCACGAAGGCGAGGGGAGCGAAAGGGAUUAGAUACCCUGGUAGUC